rfam:Rhodanobacter sp. C06 NODE_5_length_163429_cov_8.46896_ID_9, whole genome shotgun sequence.
GCCGCGCCUAGGACGGCCAUCCGAACACCGGGCACCUUCCCCGGCUGGCGCGGCUCCACUUGAAGGG